AGGGUCAUACGGGACCGGGCUGCUUAGGUGGAGGGGACGCGUCCCACACAACUUGACUCGGCUACAGCAUUCAGAACGUUACCGACAAGGAGAGCACAGUUACGGGCAUACGUUUGUAAGUCUGUGAACUGCAGUAUUGCUGCUGUGUUUAUAAGGAUGCUACUGCCAGAGGCCUUCAAGGAUCAUUCUUUUUCUUUCCUUUUUCUUUUUUUCUUUUUUUUUUUUCUUUUAAAAGAUUUCUCCUCCCCUGUUUGAGGUCCCAUUGAACAGACUUACCCAAAAGGCCUCUGUAUGAGAGCUGGAUGAAGCUGCUGAACACCAAAGGCAAAACCUGGCUGCAUGAUCCUCGGCUUGGCACCCAGGUACGCCAGGUUGACGUUGGCCUUCCUACCAUCGAUGAUGGGGUUGGGGUCCUUACACGCUCGUUCGGCAGCGGCUCUGUCGGCCAUGGUGACAAAGCCGUAUCCCCGGGACUUGCCCGUCUGCCGGUCGGUGAUGACCACCGCCUCCUCGAUGUCGCCGAACACCUCGAAGUACUUGCGCAGGCUGGAGUCGGUGGUGUGGUAAGGCAAGCCCCCGACGAAGAUCUUGGUGUAGGUGGUGUCCUUCUGCGUCGUGUGCAUCUUCCGCCCGGCCCUGAGCUCUGCACCCACGCGUGGCCGCCGGGGCGUGCGGGUCCUGGGUGCCGAGACCCGCUCCCAGAGUCAACCCUCGCUGUUCCCCCGCUUUCUUUUUCCUCCUCUCUGCCUCCCGUCUCCCCCCGCCACCCGGUCACGGCGCGACUCCGCGGUGCUUCUGCCCGCCCAGCUGCCUCCUGCUCCUGCUCCGGGCGCGGAGCCCCGCAGCCCGCGGGGAGCUCGAGGUAGGUGCCGUGGACGGGAGGGGCAGCGGCCGGGCAGCGGCCAGCCCGGCGGAGCGGCGGCGGGCGGAGGAGCGCUAAGCAGCGAGUGGCCUCCCCCCCUAAAAGCCACCGGGUCGGGCACUCUCGGUUCCUCCUCCUCCUCUCGCAGGGGCGGGGACGGCGGCGGGGCGGCCCCCGCGCUCGGCCGCGGCCCGGCCGGGGCUGGCACACAGCUGGCGGCAACAGCUGGACGCCGUCGGGACGGGGGCUGCUGCCGGAGGGCCCGGCGGGGAGGCUGCGCGUGCCCCCAGGCUGCUGUGCCCCGGGCUUGGGCGUAUAAACAGUGUCGGCGGGGCUGUGGGGUCACCGCUGCGAGCCGGCAGCCCCCAGAUGCUUGCAUCCCAAUCCAGUGCCGGUGGUGACUCCCAGCCGCGUCACCCGCCUUACACCCAAAGCUGGAAAAGCCGGCGCCCGGCAGCAUUUCCAUUACUACUGUUGUUGUGGGGCUGCUGGUGGUUAUUGUUCUGCACGCAGGGCCGAAGCAGUUGGUAAAGCUGCUUCCCUCCUCUUUCUCUUCUCUUGCUGCCUCUGCUCUGUGCUGCACUGAGAAGGAUGCGGCAGAACAAAAGGAAGGACACAGAAGGCUGUGGGAGCUGGGGGGGAGGGAGGCUCACAGGGAGACAGGAAGGAUGGGAGGAAGGCUACAGAUUGGAGAAACAUAUGUGCACAUGUGUAUGGACUUCUGAACCAUACCCUUGUGGUCACAAAGCCGUGAUAAGUGCUAGCCUCUCUUUCUCCUAGUGCUUUGUCUGUUAGACUUUCCCUGUGAAGUCUUCUCUCCUUAAUAAAAAGGAGCAAUACACUGGUUUCCAGACAUGACUUUGAAGAACUUUUCAGUCUGUCUAGUACCAAAUGUUACCCAUAAUGACAUCACUCCUAGUCUUAGGCCCUGCUUGCCCCGUAUCUAAUACUGGCCCUGUCCGAUUUUCUCUAGCAGUCAUUGUACCAGUUCUAAUGGCCUAGAAUGUGCAGUACCAGGCUGUGCUGUCACUAAAACUAACCCCAAACCCUACACCAUCCUUCAGAUUCUGCAGAUUAAACAGUUUGCGUUAUUACAUUAGGACUAACUGAGACUGAAGCUUAGCAAACCUAGCAGGAUCCUGAGAGAUGAAAGGCUGAGAGAGAUGAGACUUUAUAUCCUGGAGAAGGCUCAAGAGGUAUCUUACCUCCUAUGUGUCUAAAUGUGUCUAAAUACCUAAAGGGAGGAUGUGAUGAAGACAGGGCCAGGCUCUUUUCAGUGAUGUCCAGUGCCAGGACAAAAGGCAGUCGACAAACUGGAGCACGAGAAGUUCCCUCUGAACACCAGGCAGAACUUCUGUGCUGUGUGGGUAAUGGAGCACUGGCAGAGAAUGCCCAGACAGGUUUUGGAGUCUCAUCCUGGGAGAUCUUCAAAAGCUUCCUGGACAUGGGUUUGGGUACCCUGCUCUGAGUGUUGGACCAGGUGGACCCAGAGGGCCUUUUGUCACUUCAACUAUUUCAUGAUUCUGUGAUCCAGACAUAGAUGUUGUUUUUCACUUCCUCUGAUGCCAAGACAUUAACCUUGGCCUGAAUCCAGUUAGGCCAUUAACUCUGCCCCAAGAUAUCUCCCAGAAUACUUCUUAUAGUGGUCUGGAACCCUCUGUUAAACACGACACAGCCAAUUCUGCUCCAAUGGUUGUCAUCUUAAGCUCUGGCCCAGUGACCUGAACUUAUGUAGUAGUCCUACUCAAGGUGUCAGCGCACCAUAGAGAGCUACAGCACACAGUGCUUAGGAGUACAGUUAACUUCUCAUCCCUUUGACGAUCAAAAGGAUGAACUUCACCUAAAACCAACCAUAGCAUUCCCUAUCCCUUUCUGUUCCCACUACUCCUGCUUGUCUUGUGAUGUCUGCAGGAAUGGAGGAUUAACCUACUUUUGUAGUCAUUAUACAGACUCUUGCAUUAAGGCCAGAAAAGUGAUGUUUGGCUAUCCCAGAAGUAAUUGCAGCUGUAUUCAGGAAUUUACCUCUUUCAUUCCAGACACCAGACUUUAUUCUCUUGCCCAUCAACUUUUGAUUGCUAUAGUGUGAUCUUUUACAGCUAAUUACAUCAUCCAUCCUCCAAAUGUUGUCAGCCUUCUACAGUCA
rnacentral:lncRNA from 1 species